rnacentral:lncRNA from 1 species
AGUAUAUAAAAAUGAAGUUUUCAAUGAUGUCUUGACAACAGCAGCAAAUGAUUUCAAGACUGAUGGUUUAUAGUGAAGAGUGUGGACUAAUGGCAGAGCUAAGGAGGUGCAACACAAUUGACGUAACAGUGAAACUGUCCCACACCAAUAUUAGUGAUUGAAUGGUCAGCUGGCAGCAUACAAUAAGCCUCCUCCCCUGAAUCUUAGCAGGUAUGACGAAGUAUUUUUCUUUUGUGAAGGUGCACGGUUAGGUGGUUAGUGCAUCAGGCCCACAGUCAUAAGGUAGUGAGUUCGAUUCCCAGACUGGGCUGUGUGUUGUGUUCUUGAGCAAGACACUUUAUUUCAUGUUGCUCCAAUACUGACUGUUGACUGUCAGAACUGUUGAACUUCAUCGCACACAUGUAGGAAUAUAUGCACAUAUAUAUUCAUCACCUCUCUGUAAAGGGCCUGUACAGCCCUUAUUAUUAACCAUUUGAGUUAUAAAAUUUAUUAUAAAAUAAAUAUAAUGGUGUACACAUGAUUUAAUGACUGCCACUGUAAUUAUUUUAGUUCAAACACAUUAUCUCCCAUAAAGUCAUUGCCAGGCACAUAAAACACUCAUCUGUAGAAAUGAGUUGCAAUGUCACUGGUGCCAAGCUCCCUCUGCCUUUCCCUUGGAUGGGGCAACUGCUGGUCUUCCAUAAACAACCCGAGGAAAACUUUCUAGGUGCAAUCCCAUGGUGAUUCAUGAUCAACAGGGGUCUUUUUUUUUUCUUUUUUGUGUUUUUCUUGUCAUUACUGCAAUAGAUUGAUUGGAAGGGGAUGAUCCACUUGAUGGUAUUUGUUGGAAGGUGUGACGUGGUAUAACAAAUUUACACAGAGACAACAAUAUAACUGAAAUGAAAAUUAGUUAAAAACAAGUUUAUUUGCCACGAGAAAAGUUUGGCUCUGACGUGGGGCAGAUAAAUGUGUUGGGAGUGUAUCCAUUUAAGUUGAAAUCUUUCAGCACACUUUUUUUUCCAAAGUAGGAUUCUGCUCAGUGUUAGAAUUUCCCACCUUCUCAAACUUAUUUUAUUUUUAACAAAUAUUUACUGAUGUUGGCUGUUAUUAGUUUCCUUGAUCCUGUGAAAAGUCUGAGUAAAACAAAAAUUCAUCAAUUUCAAGAAAACAUCAUUUUAUUGCAAUGACAUGAAAAACAAAUGGCUGGUCUGAUGUUAACUUUUUUUUUCUCAACAUUAUGGAAUAAACAAACAAUACUUUUUUUUUUUCCUAUUUUAUCUAUUACAAAAUAUGUUAGAAAUAUUUGUUCUUACAUCUCUUUACAAAACAUCUUAUGAAAUUGAUAUUCUAUGUGUAUAGCAGUGUGUGUGUGUGUGUGUGUGUGGCAGGGGGUUAAAUUUUAUUUCUUUAAUUCGCUGGUAGUUCAUUGGAAGACGGUAGAAAAGAUGUAUUGGUAAGUGUCUGAAAUUGAGCCAUUUUGAUGGUUACCAUUUUCUAGAGAAACCUCUAUCAAUAAGAUAAUGUUAUAAAAAUUCUCUGCUCAAAAACAAGUUAAAUACAUUUGAUUGUAAACAGUGAUCAUUGAUGAAGCUUAACUUCAUCACUAAUUUAGUACAAAAGUAGUAAAUAUCCUAAUUUAAAUAUCUUUUGUUGAUGGAUUUUUUUAAUAACAAUCUGCUCACUACAACUUAGAUUUAAGAAAAAAAAAUUUUUUUUAAAAAUUAAAUAUGAACAAGGGAUGGGGAAAUACCCAUGUUGUAAAUGUAAACCAAAAAAAAAAAAUAAAGAUUGUUAUAUAAUUUUUACUGUAAUAUACAGAGUAAAAUAUUGUGAAAAUUUAUUGAUUGUUGAAUCAAUACACAAAGUUUGCCUUCCAAAAGUAUUGCCUCAAAAAUUAGUGUUUGAAUGAUCAGCUAAAUUCUUAUAGCCAACACUUCUAAAAUGAUAAGAAAAGUAACUUCUGGAGUGGUUUGAAGUUCACAACAAAAUUAUAGACUCAGAAAUUAUAAGGUUUUUUCAAAAUAAUAAUAAAAUCGAAAAAAAAAAAAACAAGUUAACAAUUAAUCGUCAGCUUUUGCUUGGUAGUUUAAUGUAGCAGUUUGUAGAAGAUAGGGAGCUUGUUCUUGUAUUAGUUACCAUCAAUAACUCCAAGAUUACAAUCACAUUUUUAAAAAUAAAAAAAUAUACAAAUAAACCAAUUUAGAAUUGAUAAACAG